rnacentral:rRNA from 1 species
UAUAAUAAGUAUAUAGUCCAUUUAAUUUAAUUAUAAAUAUAAGAAAUUUGAGUUUUGUUUAAAAACAGUAAUGGAAUAUUAAAAUAUUAAAAAGUAAAAAUAU